rnacentral:RNase_P_RNA from 1 species
GUAAGUUGGGUAGUUAAUUUCGGGACUCUGCUCUUGAAUGGGCAAGAAAUCGAAUUGAAUGAUUUCUGGGUUCUGAGGAAGGUCCGCCCACCGAUUACAAGUCACUUUCCGAAAGGAUUGUUGCUGUGAAGCAAGGCUCUGUUACAGAAACGACACAGCUUUCGUUGAGUUAUGAAACAUGCGUGGAACUUCGAAGCGAAAGAUUUGAUGAAACGAACAUCCUGACUGGUGCAAGGCUUUAUGCCGCAUAGUCGAAUGUUAACGCGUUCGGUUCGAUCACGACGAACGACAGAAGGUGGCCUAUUCCCAACUUGC